AUUGAACGCUGGCGGCAUGCUUUACACAUGCAAGUCGAACGGUAACAGGCCGCAAGGUGCUGACGAGUGGCGAACGGGUGAGUAAUGCAUCGGAACGUGCCCAGUCGUGGGGGAUAACGCAGCGAAAGCUGUGCUAAUACCGCAUACGAUCUAUGGAUGAAAGCGGGGGACCGUAAGGCCUCGCGCGAUUGAAGCGGCCGAUGUCAGAUUAGGUAGUUGGUGGGGUAAAGGCUCACCAAGCCAACGAUCUGUAACUGGUCUGAGAGGACGACCAGCCACACUGGGACUGAGACACGGCCCAGACUCCUACGGGAGGCAGCAGUGGGGAAUUUUGGACAAUGGGCGCAAGCCUGAUCCAGCAAUGCCGCGUGCAGGAAGAAGGCCUUCGGGUUGUAAACCGCUUUUGUCAGGGAAGAAAUCCUUUGGGUUAAUACCUCGGGGGGAUGACGGUACCUGAAGAAUAAGCACCGGCUAACUACGUGCCAGCAGCCGCCGUAA
rnacentral:rRNA from 1 species